CGGAUGGAAGAGAGUUCAGCUUAGUGGCGAACGGGUGAGUAACACGUGAGCAACCUGCCUUUCAGUGGGGGACAACAUUUGGAAACGAAUGCUAAUACCGCAUAAGACCACAGUGUCGCAUGGCACAGGGGUCAAAGGAUUUAUCCGCUGAAAGAUGGGCUCGCGUCCGAUUAGCUAGAUGGUGAGGUAACGGCCCACCAUGGCAACGAUCGGUAGCCGGACUGAGAGGUUGAACGGCCACAUUGGGACUGAGACACGGCCCAGACUCCUACGGGAGGCAGCAGUGGGGAAUAUUGCACAAUGGGGGAAACCCUGAUGCAGCGACGCCGCGUGGAGGAAGAAGGUCUUCGGAUUGUAAACUCCUGUCCCAGGGGACGAUAAUGACGGUACCCUGGGAGGAAGCACCGGCUAACUACGUGCCAGCAGCCGCGGUAAAACGUAGGGUGCAAGCGUUGUCCGGAAUUACUGGGUGUAAAGGGAGCGCAGGCGGAUUGGCAAGUUGGGAGUGAAAUCUAUGGGCUCAACCCAUAAAUUGCUUUCAAAACUGUCAGUCUUGAGUGGUGUAGAGGUAGGCGGAAUUCCCGGUGUAGCGGUGGAAUGCGUAGAUAUCGGGAGGAAC
rnacentral:rRNA from 1 species